GACGGGACAACGACCAGGGACAGCGAGCAGGAGUAUCAGUCAGCUGGUUGCUGCCGCUGCUACAACCGACCCAGCCACAGCUGGAAUACCCUCAACCUGGGCAGUGACUACUGUGCUCUACACAGUCAGCGGCUGAAGGGCAGUCUCGUGCCAGCCAUUGAAAAUGCUCACGGCACACAUCCCUGCUGACCUUCCCCAAGACCAUGGAGAGGCAGCUGAGUCCUUAGUUUGAGGAAGACAGGAUAACAGCCUGUUCCCGCUGCUAGAGGCCAGUGAGAUGGAGAGGCUUGCAGAGGUCACUGAUCAAUGGGUGAGUCUCAAAUGUCGUAUGGAUAAGUCUGGGCCAGGACAUGGGUUUGUUUCCUUCCUUCCUUCCUUCCUUCCUUCCUUCCUUCCUUCCUUCCUUCCUUCCUUCCUUUUUUGGAGGGGAGAGGGCUUAAGGCAGGGUCUAAGUUGCCCACUGACCUCAAACACACUCUAUAGCCCAGUGCGUGAAGUUAGGAUCUUCCUGCCUCAGAGCCUGCACCAGAGAGAGUGACAGGCACGUGUGCCACCACACCUGGCUCAGAUAAGAUCUCUCUACGUGUGUUGACAUGUGCACACACCACGUGACGGCAUGUAUGUGCAUCUGUGCGUGUCUGUGGAGGUCAAACUCAGA
ensembl:processed_transcript